GGGGCGGGGCCUGUGCGGGGACGGGGGCGUGGUCAGGGGCGUGGCCUCCGCCUCUCGUCCAAUCUGUGCCGUUCUGUGUCCGAACUGUCGUCACAGCGUCGAGCUGCCCUGCUUUGAUUGGUCGUCUGCUUUGACCUGUCUGCCUUUGACCCCACAGUGACCCCUGACCCUAAAGCGAGCGAGGAGACGGAUGGCAGUGUAGAUCUUUCUGAAGAGGAAAUGGAGAGAUCAGUUACAGGUCUGGUGUUCGCUCUGGAUUCGUCGCGCUCUGAUUCGCCGCUUCGCCUCUCAGGCUCCGCCCUCUUCCGUAAGCAUCACGGGUCAGGUGUGCUGUGAGGAUGGGCAGAACGACCCGCCUCCACUGCCUCAGGUGUGUGGGAGCGUGAGCGUCUCCAGAGGACAGUAUUACUGGGAGAUCGACGUCCUGCAACAGCGCCCUCUAUAGGAUCGGUGUGAUAUCAUCAUGUGAUGGGCGUGGCUGGUGGUUGGAGAGCGUGGCCUAGCGUUUCACGCGGUGUUUGACGGACGCCGUGAGCUCCUCCCCUUUAUUCCUCCUCAGCUGAAGACAGUGGGCGUGUUUCUCAAUGUGGGCGGAGCUUCAAUCACCUUCACAAUCCUGUCACUCAAGAGUUUUCUUGCCGCUGUCCCCUCCCACUUUAGUGUUCCUCUCCGUCCUGCUCUCCAAUUGGGCCAGGGAAGACUCAAGCUCCGCCCCAGCCUGCCGCCGCCCAAUUCACGUGUUUCUCAGCCCCAGCUCCACCUAUCGGGGGCCAGGAGGGGCGGGGUCUGGGCGCUGGAGGCGGGGCCUUUCGUUCGGGUCGUGAGGGCCGUGGUUCAGAAGUUCGAGGAGAUGUCACCCGUGUCGGACUCAGACUCGGGUCUCGUUUCCAGUGUGGGUCACUGUCUGAACACAACACCAGUACAGAAUAACAACAUCAAGAACAUUAAUUGACGUCUAGCUUCUGCUGGGGAAGGAUUUUUCUACUGUUAUGUACUUAUAUUCAGUGUUCCUUUCGAAUGAUGAUUGAGAAUUAAACACUUGGACUGAAACACUAU